UACGUAGGUGGCGAGCGUUGUCCGGAUUUACUGGGCGUAAAGAGCGCGCAGGCGGUCGUACAAGUCGCGUGUGAAAGCCCCCGGCUCAACUGGGGAGGGUCACGCGAUACUGAUCGACUCGAAGGCAGGAGAGGGAAGUGGAAUUCCCGGUGUAGUGGUGAAAUGCGUAGAUAUCGGGAGGAACACCAGUGGCGAAGGCGACUUCCUGGCCUGUUCUUGACGCUGAGGCGCGAAAGCUAGGGGAGCAAACGGGG
rnacentral:rRNA from 1 species